GCCAAUUCUCCACAUUAUUCCCACUAAAGCCAGCCCUAAUGACAUUUCUGUAACACUGGAACUGUCACAGUGCCUCAUGCAAUGCACUAUAUUUUAACUUUCUUAGAUGACAUGGAGAUGCCAUACUAUCCCUUUGCAGAAAAAUUAUUUCAGCUUGCAGAAAUUCAACCAUAAUGGUUUUUAAGUACAUUUAUUUUUUGCUUAUUCACUAUUGCAACAAUUCAC